AUGCCCUUGAUGCUCAGGUCCGCCGCAUCUCCUGGGUUUCUUGGGCCUGACCGGCGGGCGCGUGUGAUUGGCCUCCUCAACGCCACGCCCCGCCGGUCAAACCU
rnacentral:sRNA from 1 species